CAUGCAAGAAGACCCAGGCCACCCUGUCGGUUCACCUGCGCAGGGUGUGCAUGAAAAAUACAACACCGGAGGCAAUCGCUAAGGUGGUGGAAAAGGCAAAGGCAGUUUCUCUGGAGAUUCUGCAGAGUGGCGUAGUCUUCAGUUAUGGACAAUUGGCCAAGAUCAUGUUGGACCCCAGUCCCAUCAACAGCUUGAUUGAGGAAUUGGAGCAUCGCCACAUGGUGGUGACAGACAUUCCUCUAGCACGGGCAAGGGCACCGAUGCCUUCCACCGACACGACUCCACAGCCAGCCACCGUCGUCACGACCCCAGAACCACCAGCUGUGGCAGAGACAGAGGAGACUGAGCCCUCUGAGGUUGGCAGUGACAGCAGCAGCGAGACCUUUCAGAUCGAGCCCAACAUGCAGUGGAAGAAUCAAGCAAGGAAGCUGAUGGCAGAGAAGGGACUAUAUCAGAAACACUCCCUGGAUCAUCCGCUCCUGGAGAAAGACCUCCAGAAUUAAAAUUUCAAGCAGGAGAAAACGUUUCCAGUUUCCUUCACUUCAUGGACCCAAAACAGCCGUCCCUGUUGUUUGUGAGGAACAGGGAGAAAUCAAAGCUGUUUCUGCGUGAGCUCACUGAGGCCAAGUUGACCAAACAGACUCAGCUCAACUACCUCAAGAGCCUGAAAAGAUUUCUCCAGUACCACAUGGUCAACACGGACCUCAUACACAGCGACGAACAGCUCCACAAAGACUGCAAACACUUCAUAGAGUACAUCGGGUCCUUGCAGAAAGGCUGUUCGAAGUUGGUCAGCAAAGAAAUCAUCCAGAAGCGGAAAGAUAUGCUGACGCAGCCAGGGCAGCUCACACCAAGAGACUGCUGGACUGUGCUUGAUAAGGCCAAAAGAGACUUCCUUGCUGUCAUUGCUAAGGUGUUCCCGGAGAGAGGCUUUGAGGAAACACUGGCUAUGUCGGAGUGUACUCUGGUUCUCUACUACCUGGAGGCUGUGGUUAUUCUCAAGCAUCUCCAGCGGCCGGGAGUGGUCGAGCACUUGCAGUGUUUUAUUGCAGUGUCUGCAUUGUUUACCUGUCACUUUUUCACUCUGUUUAACCAGUGUUGUAUUCUUGCUUGUUUUAGGUGGAUGAAUGGAUAUCAAGAACGGCAAAUCCCAAUGGGGACGGGGCCGUUAUCGGCGUAAAAGAGCAGAAAACAUCAGCUCAACAAGUGGCAACGUUUGUUCUGUAGGGCG